rnacentral:rRNA from 1 species
CAGGUGCUGCAUGGCCGUCGUCAGCUCGUGUCGUGAGAUGUUGGGUUAAGUCCCGCAACGAGCGCAACCCUUGUGAUUAGUUGCCAGCACGUCAUGGUGGGAACUCUAAUCAGACUGCCCAGAUCAACUGGGAGGAAGGUGGGGACGACGUCAGGUCAGUAUGGCCCUUACGCCUUGGGCUGCACACGUACUACAAUGCCCGGCACAAUGAGAACCGAAACCGCGAGGUUGAGGAAAUCUGGAAAACCGGGCCCAGUUCGGAUUGGAGGCUGCAACCCGCCUCCAUGAAGUUGGAACCGCUAGUAAUGGCACAUCAGCUACGGUGCCGUGAAUACGUUCCCGGGUCUU